rnacentral:rRNA from 1 species
AGUGAACGCUGGCGGUAGGCCUAACACAUGCAAGUCGAACGGCAGCACAGUAAGAGCUUGCUCUUACGGGUGGCGAGUGGCGGACGGGUGAGGAAUACAUCGGAAUCUACUUUUUCGUGGGGGAUAACGUAGGGAAACUUACGCUAAUACCUCAUACGACCUACGGGUGAAAGCAGGGGAUCUUCGGACCUUGCGCGAUUGAAUGAGCCGAUGUCGGAUUAGCUAGUUGGCGGGGUAAAGGCCCACCAAGGCGACGAUCCGUAGCUGGUCUGAGAGGAUGAUCAGCCACACUGGAACUGAGACAAGGUCCAGACUCCUACGGGAGGCAGCAGUGGGGAAUAUUGGACAAUGGGCGAAAGCCUGAUCCAGCCAUACCGCGUGGGUGAAGAAGGCCUUCGGGUUGUAAAGCCCUGUUGUUGGGAAAGAAAAGAAGCAGGUUAAUACCCCGCUGUUCUGACGGUACCCAAAGAAUAAGCACCGGCUAACUUCGUG